GAUGAAGAACGCAGCGAAAUGCGAUAGGUAAUGUGAAUUGCAAAUUCAGUGAAUCAUCGAGUCUUUGAACGCACAUUGCGCCCCCUGGUAUUCCGGGGGGCAUGCCUGUCCGAGCGUCAUUGCUGCCCUCAAGCACGGCUUGUGUGUUGGGCCCCGUCCUCCGAUCCCGGGGGACGGGCCCGAAAGGCAGCGGCGGCACCGCGUCCGGUCCUCGAGCGUAUGGGGCUUUGUCACCCGCUCUGUAGGCCCGGCCGGCGCUUGCCGAUCAACCCAAAUUUUUAUCCAGGUUGACCUCGGAUCAGGUAGGGAUACCCGCUGAACUUAAGCAUAUCAAUAAGCGGAGGA
rnacentral:misc_RNA from 1 species